rnacentral:rRNA from 1 species
GUCGCUACUACCGAUUGAAUGGCUCGGUGAGGCCUUCGGACUGGCCCAGGGAGGUCGGCAACGACCACCCAGGGCCGGAAAGUUGGUCAAACCCGGUCAUUUAGAGGAAGUAAAAGUCGUAACAAGGUCUCCGUAGGUGAACCUGCGGAGGGAUCAUUA